UUUAACGAUAUAAACAGUUUGGUGGAACCGACCCUUAAUCUUACUCUAUGGUCAUACCUAAAUUAAAAUAUUUUACAGGAAGAAGUAACUGAACUGGCUGUACUACCGACACUUGAUAAUGAUGACAGCCCAUCUAUUUUUAUACUACAUGAUGAGUUUGCUCAACAAACUUGUUCCAAUGUUGAAGAUUGGAAUCGGCCAGGGACAUCAGCUCGACCCCCAGUUUUUCCACCCUUACCUGUGGACAGGAAUAACCAAGACUUGGCGGGCAGAGAGGAGCCUGGAAUAGUUAACAGCCCAGACAGGAGUGAGGCCGGCAUGACACAGACGCAGGAGCCUGCGGCUCGGGCCGCGCGGAUGCUAGACAGGAGUGAGGCCGGCAUGACACAG